CCUCUUCUCUGGAGCCAGGCUGG
rnacentral:miRNA from 1 species